AUGUACGAUAGGCCAUUUCUGCUUCAUAACUUCCCAACUCCUGACAACUUACUCCCUAUUGCUGACUACAUCCCAAUUUUAUCUUUUCUUCAAUACCUAUUGCAUCAGUAUGCUGACCUCUGUCUUCCACAACCAGUGGAUGGCAAACAGCCAGAGCCACCCAUAACACCUGGAGACUUAAUGUAUCUUAAAGCUUCUAAGCCUAUAGGACUACAAUCAAGGUGGGGAGGCCCCCACUUGAUGGUCCUCAUGACUCCCACAGCAAUCAAGGUCGCCUGCCUUCCGUCCUGGUUCCACAUCAUCCAGGCAAAAAGGUGCCCCAGCAACCUGGUCACUCCAGACCCCAAACCUUCAGCACCAGAGUGGUCAUCACAACUUUUAUCUCCUACCCAUCUAAAACUCACUAGAACCUCUAGUGAGUUACCAAGGUAUUGUACAACCUGCCAAGAGUCUCACCCUGUAGUUCUCAAGGAUGUGGCUGCGACAGGUCAAUCAUUUCCAACAGUCAAACUCCAGUAUUGGGUGUACCUCUGUGCCAAGCAGGUAUUUAUGUUGGGACUUAUUAAAAACAAAACAGCAAAAUACCAAAAAAAAAGACAGAAUGUGAUUAGCAAUGCUUAGCAGAGCGCUCUUCUUUUUUUGGCUACUGAGAAACUGAUACCUAGUCAUUUGAAAGACGACAAAGGCAGACAAACAAGAGGUUUUUAGGUAUUUUCUCUGUGAUACCAAGGAUUAAACCCAGGGCUUUUGCACUGAGCUAUAUCCCCAGCCAUUAUUUUUAUUAAGUGCCCAAGGCUGGACUCAAACUUGUGAUCUCCUUGCCUCAGCCACCCAAGGGUGGGGAUAGCAGGUGUGCACCCACUCCCCCAGCUAUGAGAGUCCUGCAGAGGUGGAGAAAGGAACAGAAACCCAGGUUCACCCCACCAGGAGGCGUACUCCAGGGAAGGUGACCACACAGGUGCAGCAGAUGUGCAGCAGGCCCACUGUCCUCGCUGGUGACAAAUCCACUGCACAACAGCCUCGUGCCCACUGAAAGGGCACCAAAACCAUGACUUCCACUUGAGGCCAGAGUGUCAGCUCUGCACUAAUUAGCAGAGGUGUUUCCUGCAAGAACUCCCCUCCAAAAGCCUGCAGAUAUGGUACCAGCCAUGAAGAUGGCUGAAGGGUGGCUAUUAUGACGAAUGAUGCCCCAGAGCUCCAGCCAUGGUAGCACCAGCAUCCAUGCCAAGAGUGCUGUGCGUGGCACAAACUCCAGUGGCAGACAGGAUGCUCACCGUGUGCAGAUGCUGUUCUUAUUAUUUACUAUUUACAUCCACCCAUCUGACCCUCAUCACUGUCCUCCCUCCAGUGCACAAAGCAGGCCACUCAGGCACAGAGCUAUGAGCAGCCGGCUGUUGGCUAACUCAUCUGCCAAGAAUCUCACAGGACUGGGACUGGAAGAGAAGAGGCUUGAGCCUGUGCCCUGAGCUGCCAUGCUGUAUUCUGCAUAUCAGAGGGAAGCAAGAGGGACCUUCUUCUUGGAUUCUGAGUGUAAAAGGAUUGCUGGCCUACAUCGGAAGUAUUAAAACAACUCUUCUUAAGCCGAGCACACUUGUCAUCCCAGCACUCUGGAGGCUGAGGCAGGAGGAUUGCUGCAAGUUCAAGGCCAGCCUACGCUACACAGUGAGUUCAACAAGGCCAGCCUGAAUGGCAUAGUGAAACCACGUCUCAAAAAGACAAAAAAUAAAAAAAAGAAAAAAAGAAAACUCUUAUUGGCCAUGACAUC
rnacentral:lncRNA from 1 species